UACGGGGGGAGCAAGCGUUGUUCGGAUUUACUGGGCGUAAAGGGCGCGUAGGCGGCCAGCACAAGUCAGUUGUGAAAUCUCCGGGCUUAACUCGGAAAGGUCAACUGAUACUGUGCGGCUAGAGUGCAGAAGGGGCAACUGGAAUUCUCGGUGUAGCGGUGAAAUGCGUAGAUAUCGAGAGGAACACCUGCGGCGAAGGCGGGUUGCUGGGCUGACACUGACGCUGAUGCGCGAAAGCCAGGGGAGCGAAAGGG
rnacentral:rRNA from 1 species